GACGAACGCCGGCGGCGUGCUUAACACAUGCAAGUCGAACGGAAAGGCCCUGCUUGCAGGGUACUCGAGUGGCGAACGGGUGAGUAACACGUGGGUGAUCUGCCCUGCACUUCGGGAUAAGCCUGGGAAACUGGGUCUAAUACCGGAUAGGAGCCAUUUUUAGUGUGAUGGUUGGAAAGUUUUUUCGGUGUAGGAUGAGCUCGCGGCCUAUCAGCUUGUUGGUGGGGUAAUGGCCUACCAAGGCGGCGACGGGUAGCCGGCCUGAGAGGGUGGACGGCCACAUUGGGACUGAGAUACGGCCCAGACGCCUACGGGAGGCAGCAGGGGGGAAUAUUGCACAAUGGGCGCAAGCCUGAUGCAGCGACGCCGCGUGGGGGAUGACGGCCUUCGGGUUGUAAACUCCUUUCGCUAGGGACGAAGCUUUUUGUGACGGUACCUAGAUAAGAAGCACCGGCUAACUACGUG
rnacentral:rRNA from 1 species